AAUUAAAGCGGAUCGCCCGCGGCCUAAUCGAGUUUUUUUUUUAUCCCCAUUGAUAUCUCUAUUAGCACUGCUGUGCUAAACUCACGAUUCCGGGGUUCGUCCGUUGCUCCGCUUCUAUUUCAGCCCCAAGAAUAACUUAUAUUCUCCCUCGCGUCCCGUGGCCAUUUUAGCUUUGGGCACGCGAUUCCAGCAAGGAGUUACUUCCUAUUUGCGGUGGAUGCUGUCCCAGCAUCCACCGCAAAAUCUCGUUCAUGCGCAGUGUCGAAUGUUCCCUGGCGGCUUGAGCGUCUCUGUUGCCAUCGCAACGGCAGGCGUAUGAAUGAAAAGUUCCCGCCCCGUUGUGAUGAUAACAGAGCCUCGUGGAACACAGCAACAGACUGAGAGACUCACAGCAGAGAAGACCGGACUAGCAAGAUAAUAUUCAAAAGAUAUAAAAAUCUAAUCCACCAUUGAAAUGGAGAGUGAUCCCAGAUCUCCUGCGGAAAGAGCAGCAAGCUACAGCUUAUUGAGUGAAGAGGAAAGAUGGAAUAUUCUUAGAAAUCAGUUGUUAGCUAGGUAUCCACCACGAGAAAAUGAUCCGGCAUUCCCAAUCAACCCGACCAUUGGCUCUUCUACCAGGAGUAAUUCCUCCGAAUCACAAGUGACUGACAGAAUCGGAACCAAAAAUUGGUGUUCAUGCCAGAAUUGCAUUGCAAUGCCCACGAACGUUGAAGCCGUUUGCUGCCAAGAACUUGAGGAAGUCAAAGAAUAUAUUCCACCAGGAAAAAUUUGCAUAACAGAAGUUGAAAUUUUCAAUACAGUGGUAGCCUCAGAUAGACUAAUACCAAUAAUAAACAAUAUAGUAUUUUAUGACGAACGACCAGAGGUAGAUCCUGACAACAACAGGUAAAUAUAAAAAGAUAUAUGUUGAUCCUACUUACACUAAUAUAUUUCUCCUUUUACUAAUAUUUUUUUAUUUUGAUAACAUUUUUAUUUUUUUAUUAGGAGAUUAAGAAAAAUAGCAUAUAGGACAUAUAUAUCCUGUAUCUAUGGCUUCCUAGGGAAAGGUAACAGGAGGGUGAUCCCGUCAUGUGCAGUCAACAUCAUACGCCUGCUUUUUCCAGAUCCCAAUGGUACAUAUGUAGGAUUUAUGUAUUCUGAGGACUAUAAUGCAUCAGAGAUGGCUUAUCAUUAAUUAUUUAAUUUAAAAUGUUAAUUUUUGUUGUUGUCUUUUUUUUUUGGUUGUUUUUUCAUAUAUUAAAGUUUUGUAUGUAAUUUAACAUAAUAAAAAGAGUUAUAUUUAAAAUAA